GAUGAACGCUAGCGACAGGCUUAACACAUGCAAGUCGAGGGGCAGCAGGGGAGUAGCAAUAUUCCCGCUGGCGACCGGCGCACGGGUGAGUAACACGUAUGCAACCUGCCCUUGUCAGGGGGAUAAGCGGAAGAAAUUCCGUCUAAUACCGCAUAAUGCUGCGGGGAGACAUCUCCCUGCAGCCAAAGAUUUAUCGGACAAGGAUGGGCAUGCGGCGCAUUAGCUGGUUGGCGGGGUAACGGCCCACCAAGGCGACGAUGCGUAGGGGUUCUGAGAGGAAGGUCCCCCACACUGGUACUGAGACACGGACCAGACUCCUACGGGAGGCAGCAGUGAGGAAUAUUGGUCAAUGGCCGGGAGGCUGAACCAGCCAAGUCGCGUGAGGGAAGACGGUCCUAUGGAUUGUAAACCUCUUUUGUCAGGGAGCAAAAACUGCCACGCGUGGCAGGAUGAGAGUACCUGAAGAAGAAGCAUCGGCUAACUCCGUGCCAGCAGCCGCGGUAAUACGGAGGAUGCGAGCGUUAUCCGGAUUUAUUGGGUUUAAAGGGUGCGUAGGCGGACAGUUAAGUCAGCGGUAAAAUUGAGAGGCUCAACCUCUUCCCGCCGUUGAAACUGAUUGUCUUGAGUGGGCGAGAAGUAUGCGGAAUGCGUGGUGUAGCGGUGAAAUGCAUAGAUAUCACGCAGAACUCCGAUUGCGAAGGCAGCAUACCGGCGCCCAACUGACGCUGAAGCACGAAAGCGUGGGUAUCGAACAGGAUUAGAUACCCUGGUAGUCCACGCAGUAAACGAUGAAUACUAAUUGUUCGGGUCAAAUGAGAUCUGAGUGAUACAGCGAAAGCGUUAAGUAUUCCACCUGGGGAGUACGCCGGCAACGGUGAAACUCAAAGGAAUUGACGGGGGCCCGCACAAGCGGAGGAACAUGUGGUUUAAUUCGAUGAUACGCGAGGAACCUUACCCGGGCUCAAACGACACAGGAAUGAUCUGAGAAAUCAGGCAGUCCUCCGGGACCUGUGUCGAGGUGCUGCAUGGUUGUCGUCAGCUCGUGCCGUGAGGUGUCGGCUUAAGUGCCAUAACGAGCGCAACCCCCAUCGACAGUUGCCAGCAGGUGAAGCUGGGCACUCUGUCGAGACUGCCGGCGCAAGCUGUGAGGAAGGCGGGGAUGACGUCAAAUCAGCACGGCCCUUACGUCCGGGGCGACACACGUGUUACAAUGGCAGGUACAGCGGGAAGCCACCUGGCGACAGGGAGCGGAACCCGAAAGCCUGUCUCAGUUCGGAUUGGAGUCUGCAACUCGACUCCAUGAAGCUGGAUUCGCUAGUAAUCGCGCAUCAGCCACGGCGCGGUGAAUACGUUCCCGGGCCU
rnacentral:rRNA from 1 species